CUGAGUGCAUCUUGAAGGGAGUGCCAAUCAAUAUCCUGACCACAGAGGAGGCUGUGAACCAGAUGAGGUGGGAUGUUGCAAUGAAACUUCUUGAAGAAUCAGACAAUCUCAGCAACCUGUGUCAUUAUUGUGGGUUGGAUGAAAAUGAAGACCCAAAUUGGAUCUGCUGUGAUAAUUGUGGGAGAUGGUACCACCAUGAGUGCGUACAGAGGCCGCCACUGCACAAGAACUACCUGUGCCCUGCAUGUAAAUAAAUGUUCAGUUCUUGCUUUUUUUUGUUAAUUGUUGUUUGCAUUUAUUUUUUUAUGUUCUUGUUCAUUUAAUUUGGAAAAAUUCGUUAUUUAUUGAUUAAUUAUUCAUUCUUGUUCUUUUAAU